rnacentral:SRP_RNA from 1 species
GAGGUGGUUGAAGGUUGGUUCGUUCCGCCGUGUAGGGCUUUACUGAGAUGAUUUCUGGCCUGCCCAAUCCAAGUUGUGAGCUGGGCCUUGGGCUCUCGACGUAGGUUGGGAGUCCAUUGCUCGUAAAGAUGGUGGGCACCGCGUGAGGCUGGAUUCACAGAGCAGCGUUACCACCCACUCUCAACGGUGGAAGGAUAACGGGCCGAUUCUUGGUGAGUCUAAACAUUACACAGUGGGUUGUUCUCAGCCCGACAACCACUUUU